rnacentral:lncRNA from 1 species
UCAGAGCUCGACAGGCUGAGACAGAAUCACUCGCUCUAGCUAGUCCUUCAUGCUGAGAGAGGUCACCAAGAGUGAGAGCUGCAAGAAGCCUACCAGAUUGCGAUCUAGUCUGUGGAUCCAACAAAUAUUGUGCCAGAGGUGCCAAGAGCUGCAAGAAGCCUACCAGAUUGUGAUCUAGUCUGUGGAUCCAACAAAUAUUGUGCCAGAGGUGCAAUUGCAUACUUGGAUACCUUCAGCUCUCGUAUCUGGACAUUGUUGAAAAGAGCUUCAAGCAAUUUUCCUGAUGCUUCUUCACACUGGUGAGAUCUUAGCAGAUCCAAGAGGGCGUCUACUACACCAGCUUCAGCC